rnacentral:misc_RNA from 1 species
AACAAGGCGUACCUGCGGACCUGCGGAAGGAUCAUUACAAGUGACCCCGGUCUAACCACCGGGAUGUUCAUAACCCUUUGUUGUCCGACUCUGUUGCCUCCGGGGCGACCCUGCCUUCGGGCGGGGGCUCCGGGUGGACACUUCAAACUCUUGCGUAACUUUGCAGUCUGAGUAAACUUAAUUAAUAAAUUAAAACUUUCAGCAAUGGAUCU